GAUUUUUGAUGUCUAAGAAAAAUUCAUCUUCACCCUAGAUGCCGAUAUUUUGUUUAUGGGUGAGAAUCAACCUUUGAGCCGCUAUGGUGAUGUUUGGGCUGGUUUUUGCAGCAAGGUGAUUUAUGAUCAUCUUGGGUUGGGUGUAAAAAUAAGCCUACCUUGUGUUUGGUAUAUUCGUCAAAGAGUCAAUCUAGUGGGAAGAUAUAAGAAUGAGUUGAAUGGGUUGAAUGGCAUGAGAGGAUAUACUUAUUCUUCCAAGAUGUGAAGUUUCCGUAUCAAAUUCAAUGACGUGUAAAAAUGCUAGGAAACUUACCAACUAGGUGAAGGAGAACUUAGGACAUGUAAACUUGGUGAUGCAAUGUUAGCUUGGGUUAAAGCCUGGUAAACACUAAAUCCUCAUGGAAAAGUUACAGAUAACUGACUUGUUGAAAGUGCAUUUUAUAAAUUAUCGAUAAUGAUGAUAAGAGGGACCACAUCGUUAGAGAGUUGUUUGCUUUUGGAUUUUUGGAGGUCUAUUUUAUUUGACAACAAAGGGUUUAUGCUAAUUCCCUAUAUUUUACAGACUGCUAUAAAGAUUGUUUCAAGCUACUUUUUUUUUCCAAACUGAAUUAUGUUAUUCGUUGUUAGUUUGAGCUUGUUUUUCCUUCCAACCUGAAAUUUUUGUUGUUCUUUUUAUGUUUUCCAAAACUUUACCUGUUUCUGUGGUAAAUUUUUUUAAAGAGUGAAUUAAGUAUAAUAAUGUAUAAAUGUUAUGUCU